UGCUUUGCGCAGUGGCAGUAUCUUAGCCAAUGAGGUUUAUCCGAGGUGGAAUUAUUGCUAAUUGAAAGCUUUUCCCAGUACCCUGCAGUGACAACUUGCAAUAUAGUCGAUGUUGACAAUUUUUGAUAGUCUCUUCGGAGA